UUACACCACCUUGCCCGAUCUCGUCUCCGAAGCUAAGCAGGGUUGGGCCUGGUUAGUGCUUGGAUGGGAGACCGGGGGGGAAUACCAGGAG
rnacentral:rRNA from 1 species